GAAAUAUUUUGAGGACAUUUUUUCUGUUUCUGUUUAUAAACAUAGUUUCUCAUAUUCAAUAAUAUUUUUUAUUGAAAAUUAAACUUGAUGUCAUGUGUCAAAAAACAAUUAAGGCGCAUGCGUAAGAGUCACUGCUAUGCAAUACCAUCAAGCAACCUCAGAUAUAUUUUUCUCUACUUAGCCAAGUUGACAGUAAAUUAUUAUAAGUAAAAGUGACGUGUCAAAGCAUUAAUUGAUCACUAAAUAUACAAUAACAAUGGUAUGUGUCCCGUGUGUUUUCAUUCCUAUUUUAUUAUUACUUUGGAGAUUUUUAUUACAACCAAUUUUCUUAAAAUUAUGGAAAAUUAAAUCUAAUAAAGGAGAAAAUCCAGAUGAAAAUCAAGCUCCACCAGAACUAGUCAAAACAUGUGAAAAUGGUGUCUGUUCAAUGGGUUGGAAAAGUUCUCAGAAAAUAUCGAAAACUGAGUAAUAUUUUUUAAAUUCUACAAUAAACAUAAAAAAAUCAUCUUUAUUUAACC